rnacentral:tRNA from 1 species
AUUCAAAUAGCUUAUAUUUAGAGUAUAACACUGAAGAUGUUAGGGAGAUAGAUUUAUCUUUGAAUA